AUUGAACGCUGGCGGCAGGCCUAACACAUGCAAGUCGAACGAGUGGCGGACGGGUGAGUAAUGUCUGGGAAACUGCCCGAUGGAGGGGGAUAACUACUGGAAACGGUAGCUAAUACCGCAUACCAUCGGAUGUGCCCAGAUGGGCUUAGCUAGUAGGUGGGGUAACGGCUCACCUAGGCGACGAUCCAUAGCUGGUCUGAGAGGAUGACCAGCCACAGUGGAACUGAGACACGGCCCAGACUCCUACGGGAGGCAGCAGUAGGGAAUAUUGCACAAUGGGCGAAAGCCUGAUACAGCCAGGCCGCGUGUAUGAAGAAGGCCUUCGGGUUGUAAAGCACUUUUAGCGAGGAAGCGGUAAUCGCAGAAGAAGUACCGGCUAACUCCGUGCCAGCAGCCGCGGUAAUAC
rnacentral:rRNA from 1 species